rnacentral:lncRNA from 1 species
CACGAAAGAGCAUUGUCCGUCAGCUGGGCUGCUGCUAGGGCAACCUUCUUGGCCUCACUAUAUUGGUAAUAGUCGAAGAUGUACUCCAUGCGCUUCUCCCACACGAUGUAGGCAUCCGGAUCAACCUUGCCGGCAAACGUUGGGGGAUGAAGCUUAAGCGCCUUGCCUCCCAACCAGGGCUCUUCCUCCUCUCGGUCUCGACCUCCCCUAUGGUCGCGGCCUCCUCCUACUUGGGCCCGGGGUCCUCGCGCGUUCCUCCUACCUCCCCGGUUUGGCCUCUCCUCGUCCUGACUGCGCGUAUCAUCGGUACUGUCCGCGUCCGAGUCAGUGUCAUGCGGGUCCGGCUGAUGCCUUCCUGGUGGUCGAGGUCCGUUGGGCCUGCCUCCCUGCCGUAUCUGAGCAAGCUCGGC